rnacentral:rRNA from 1 species
GAUGAACGCUAGCUACAGGCUUAACACAUGCAAGUCGAGGGGCAGCAUGGUCUUAGCUUGCUAAGGCCGAUGGCGACCGGCGCACGGGUGAGUAAACACGUAUCCAACCUGCCGUCUACUCUUGGACAGCCUUCUGAAAGGAAGAUUAAUACAAGAUGGCAUCAUGAGUCCGCAUGUUCACAUGAUUAAAGGUAUUCCGGUAGACGAUGGGGAUGCGUUCCACUAGAUAGUAGGCGGGGUAACGGCCCACCUAGUCUUCGAUGGAUAGGGGUUCUGAGAGGAAGGUCCCCCACAUUGGAACUGAGACACGGUCCAAACUCCUACGGGAGGCAGCAGUGAGGAAUAUUGGUCAAUGGGCGAGAGCCUGAACCAGCCAAGUAGCGUGAAGGAUGACUGCCCUAUGGGUUGUAAGCUGCUUUUAUAGGGGAUAAAGUGUGCCACGUGUGGCAUAUUGCAAGGUA